CCUACGGGUGGCAGCAGUGAGGAAUAUUGGUCAAUGGCCGAGAGGCUGAACCAGCCAAGUCGCGUGAGGGAAGAAGGCCCUACGGGUUGUAAACCUCUUUUGUCUGGGAGCAAAGCGAACCACGUGUGGUUCUUUUAGAGUACCCGAAGAAAAAGCAUCGGCUAACUCCGUGCCAGCAGCCGCGGUAAUACGGAGGAUUCGAGCGUUAUCCGGAUUUAUUGGGUUUAAAGGGUGCGCAGGCGGAGGUGCAAGUCAGCGUUCAAAGUGCGGGGCUUAACCCCGUACUGCCGUUGAAACUGGAUGACUUGAGUGUGCGAGAAGCAAGCGGAAUGCGUGGUGUAGCGGUGAAAUGCAUAGAUAUCAUACAGAACACCGAUUGCGAAGGCAGCUUACCAAGCCACUUCUGACGUUGAGGCACGAAAGCGUGGGGAGCAAACAGGAUUAGAUACCCUAGUAGUC
rnacentral:rRNA from 1 species